GGUAAGGGGACCUGCGGAGGGAUCAUUACACAAUACAAUAUGAAGGCUGUCCGCAGCUGGAGUAUUUUAUUACCCUUGUCUUUUGCGCACUUGUUGUUUCCUGGGCGGGUUCGCUCGCCACCAGGACCACCAAAUAAACCUUUUUUAUGCAGUUGCAAUCAGCGUCAGUACAAACAAUGUAAAUCAUUUACAACUUUCAACAACGGAUCUCUUGGUUCUGGCAUCGAUGAAGAACGCAGCGAAAUGCGAUACGUAGUGUGAAUUGCAGAAUUCAGUGAAUCAUCGAAUCUUUGAACGCACAUUGCGCCCUUUGGUAUUCCAAAGGGCAUGCCUGUUCGAGCGUCAUUUGUACCCUCAAGCUUUGCUUGGUGUUGGGCGUUUUUGUCUUUGGUCGCCCAAAGACUCGCCUUAAAGUGAUUGGCAGCCGGCCUUUCUGGUUUCGCAGCGCAGCACAUUUUUGCGCUUGCCAUCAGCAAAACGGCAAUCCAUCAAGCCUCCUUCUCACGUUUGACCUCGGAUCAGGUAGGGAUACCCGCUGAACUUAAGCAUAUCAAAGCGGGGA
rnacentral:rRNA from 1 species